rnacentral:rRNA from 1 species
GCUAUCGGGGUUCGAUUAAGCCAUGCGAGUCGAGAGGUGCAAGACCUCGGCGCACUGCUCAGUAACACGUGGACAAUCUACCCUGAGGAGGGGGAUAACCCCGGAAAACUGGGGAUAAUACCCCAUAGAUUAGGGAGGCUGGAAUGCCCCCUAGUUCAAAGGUCCGCCGCCUCAGGAUGGGUCUGCGGCCGAUUAGGUUGUUGUUGGGGUAACGGCCCAACAAGCCUUUGAUCGGUACGGGUUGUGGGAGCAAGAGCCCGGAGAUGGAUUCUGAGACACGAAUCCAGGCCCUACGGGGCGCAGCAGGCGCGAAAACUUUACAAUGCGAGAAAUCGUGAUAAGGGAACCCCGAGUGCCAGCAUAUAAUGUUGGCUGUCCAGAUGCCUAACAAGCAUCUGUUAGCAAGGGCCGGGCAAGACCGGUGCCAGCCGCCGCGGUAACACCGGCGGCCCGAGUGGUAACCGCUAUUAUUGGGUCUAAAGGGUCUGUAGCCGGCCAGG